rnacentral:rRNA from 1 species
GUAACGGCGAGUGAAGCGGUAACAGCUCAAAUUUGAAAUCUGGCCUCACGGUCCGAGUUGUAAUUUGUAGAGGAUGCUUCGAGCAUGGUCUGGCCUAAGUUCCUUGGAACAGGACGUCAUAGAGGGUGAGAAUCCCGUAUGCGGCCAGGUGCCUACGCUCAUGUGAAGCUCCUUCGACGAGUCGAGUUGUUUGGGAAUGCAGCUCAAAAUGGGUGGUAAAUUUCAUCUAAAGCUAAAUAUUGGCCAGAGACCGAUAGCGCACAAGUAGAGUGAUCGAAAGAUGAAAAGCACUUUGGAAAGAGAGUUAAACAGUACGUGAAAUUGUUGAAAGGGAAGCGCUUGCAACCAGACUUGCGCGCGGCCGAUCAUCCGGUGUUCUCACCGGUGCACUCGGCCGUGCUCAGGCCAGCAUCGGUUUUGGCGGCUGGAUAAAGGCCCUAGGAAUGUAGCUCCUCUCGGGGAGUGUUAUAGCCUAGGGUGCAAUGCAGCCUGCUGGGACCGAGGACCGCGCU